rnacentral:rRNA from 1 species
AUUAUGAGUUUUGUCCCAGCUCUGAAUGAACGCUUGCAAAGUGCUUAACACAUGCGAGUUAACGUAAAAGCAGAGUUUGUUACGUAGCGUAUUGGUGAGUAUAAAAUAAGGACAUAUUUUUAUAGUUAUAAUAAAACCACUGUAUAAUAAUAAAUGCAAGAGUACGGUCUUAAGUUAAUUUAAAGAAGGCGCUAUAGCUAAAUCUAUUAAGUAGUGAGUUUAAUUAAAUUUUACAUGUAAAUGUAAAACUAUACAAAACCUUAUUCGGCGGUAUAUAGCACAAUAACAUGCUAAAAAAACGUCUAGUUGUUUUUAACGAAGGUACAACCACCUGGGGAAUGAAAAGCCCCCGCCAUAGGCAGCAGUGAGGAAUCAUGGGCAAUGAGCAGUAGCUUGACCCUGCGACUUUGCGUAGUUGAAAUGAAGGAUAACCGUAAAGACAGUACGUAAAUUAAAAAAAAGAUUAAAUUUAAGUAGAAGCUCCGGCCAAUCAUGUGCCAGCAGCCGCGGUAAUACAUGAGGAGUUAGCGUUAUUCGUCGUGACUGGGCGUAAAGCAUACUAAGGCUACUAGUUAUUUUAAAAUUAAUACUCCAUAAAUGGUGUAUUUUUAAAAAUAUAUAUAUAAAAAUACUAGUUUGAGUUUUUUAGAAGUUUGUGGAAUUUAUUUUAUAGUUUUAAAAUACAAAGAUAAAAUAGGAACCAUCAAUUUAGCGUUGGCAACAAACUAAAAAAAACUGACGUUGAAAUAUUAAAGUAUAAGUAUCAAACAGGAUUAGAGACCCUGGUAGUUUAUACCCUGAAUUAUGAGUGUUUACUGGUAUUAUACGUAAUUUAUGAAUACCAAAUAAUUAACGUGAUAGCACUCCGCCUGGAGAAUAAGAUUGCAAAAUUGAAACUUAAAAGAAGUGGCGGGAAUGUAUCUCAACGGUGGAACAUGUGGUUUAAUUCGACAAUACGCGAAAAAUCUUACCAAU